UACGGAGGGUGCAAGCGUUGCUCGGAAUUACUGGGCGUAAAGCGUACGCAGGCUGUCUGUUAAGUCGGGUGUGAAAUCUCGGGGCUCAACCCCGAGCGGUCGUGAGAAACUGGCAGGCUAGAGUGCGGGAGAGGAGAGUGGAAUUCCUGGUGUAGCGGUGAAAUGCGCAGAUAUCAGGAAGAACACCCGUGGCGAAGGCGGCUCUCUGGAGCGCAACUGACGCUGAGACGCGAAAGCGUGGGGAGCAAACAGG
rnacentral:rRNA from 1 species